rnacentral:rRNA from 1 species
GACGAACGCUGGCGGCGUGCUUAACACAUGCAAGUCGAACGAAGUGGCGAACGGGUGAGUAACGCGUAAUUAACCUGCCCUUCAGAGGGGGACAACAGUUGGAAACGACUGCUAAUACCGCAUACUGAAGGAGGGGAUUGCGUCUGAUUAGCUAGUUGGGGGGGUAACGGCCCACCAAGGCGAUGAUCAGUAGGCGGGCUGAGGGGAGGAACGGCCACAUUGGGACUGGGGCACGGGCCAGGCUCCUGAGGGAGGCAGGAGGGGGGGAUCUUGCGCAAUGGGCGGAAGUCUGGCGGAGGCACGCCGGGUGAGUGAUGGCGGGCUUCGGGGUGUAAAGCUCUGUUAAUCGGGGCGCGGUACCGGAAGAGAAAGCCACGGCUAACUACGUGCCAGCAGCCGCGGUAAUAC